AUUGAACGCUGGCGGCAUGCUUUACACAUGCAAGUCGAACGGUAACAGGCCGCAAGGUGCUGACGAGUGGCGAACGGGUGAGUAAUGCAUCGGAACGUGCCCAGUCGUGGUGGAUAACGCAGCGAAAGCUGUGCUAAUACCGCAUACGAUCUAUGGAUGAAAGCGGGGGACCGUAAGGCCUCGCGCGAUUGGACCGGCCGAUGUCAGAUUCGGUAGUUGGUGGGGUAAAGGCCUACCAAGCCGACGAUCUGUAGCUGGUCUGAGAGGACGACCAGCCACACUGGGACUGAGACACGGCCCAGACUCCUACGGGAGGCAGCAGUGGGGAAUUUUGGACAAUGGGCGCAAGCCUGAUCCAGCAAUGCCGCGUGCAGGAAGAAGGCCUUCGGGUUGUAAACUGCUUUUGUACGGAACGAAACGGUCUGGGUUAAUACCCUGGGCUAAUGACGGUACCGUAAGAAUAAGCACCGGCUAACUACGUGCCAGCCGCCGCAGUAACAC
rnacentral:rRNA from 1 species